UCGGUGGUGCGUCGAACAAAAGUACAUCUUUUACUUGCGACAGCUUUUAGGUGCCGCGUUUAGAUCCUGCUUCUAGGUUUAAUAAAGUGAGAAGCAGUGAGAAAUUACUGGUAAAAGAAGAGGGCCGUUUAGGAUUUUGUCUUAUGCGGCGCUAACGGUUCUCCCAAAUCGCUGGCUUAAUACAAUAAUAGUAAUCAUUAUUAUUAUUAUUUCAAAAUUACAUCAACCUCAGUAUUCAGCUGGUACUUAUUUUUUCAACCCCCGAAAGGAUGAAAGGCAAAGUCGACCUCGCCGGAAUUUGAACUCGGAACUUAGCGAUGGGCGAAAUACCGCUAAGCAUUUCGUCCACAGUGCUAACGAUUCUUAUUUCUUUAUUGCCCACAAGUGGCAAAACAUAGAGACGACAAACAAAAACAGACAAAGGGAUUAAGUCGAUUUCAUCGACCCCAGUGCGUAACUGGUACUUAAUUUAUCGACCCCUAAAGGAUGAAAGGCAAAGUCGACCUCGGCAGAAUUUGAACUUAGAACGUAACGGAUUUGAACUCAGAACAGAACAUUCUAACGAUUCUGCCAGCUCGCCGCCUUAACAACAACAACAACAACAACAACAACAACAACAACAACAACAAUAAUAAUCCCUUCUCCUAAAGGUACAAAACCUGGAAUUUGCGUGGAGUGGGUAAAUCGAUUACAUCGACCCAAGUAAGGAUGAAAUUUAUCGACCCCGAAAGGAUGAAAGGCAAAGUCGAUCUCGGUGGAAUUUGAACUCAGAGCGUAAAGACAGACGAAACGCCUCUAAGCAUUUCGCCAGGCGUGCUAACAUUUCUGCCAGCUCGCCGCCUUAUUGCCGCACUUGAUAAAUCGAGAACACAACUCGGCUCUCGCCAUGCAAAUCACGGACCAUGCUUCCACAAGAUUCGUCGGCCUCACAUCUUGAAGAUAAAUAAUGGCUGACCAACCCACAGUUAUGUCGACCCCUAACACAAAGUGCCCUUUCUUACUAUAACUGAAAGCAAGCAGGAAAAAGUUUGCUUUUCUCUGUCUUCCUCUCUCUUGACCUCUUGUUCGCCUGUUUUGUCUCUCUUGUUUUUGAACUGUCUGCUUAAUCUCCAGCGAUAUGCUGGCGACCGCCGACUUCUUAAAACCCAAAGCAAGCCCUGAGGUCAUAAACAGACGACAAUGGACGAACCAAUGGGCUUUCAUCUUUUUCACGUCACACCUAGAUCAGUUGUCGUAAGGUUCAUGCAUAAUGACAUUGUUACCGAAAUACGAAAUUAAUGAACGUAGAAGACAAUUACGUAUUUUAUAACUAUUGAAAUAUUCCGUACAAAAUAAGAGAAAUCAGAUAAAAGACGUUUGGUAUGUGUCACAGCGCCAUUUUGUUAUGUUCUCACUCCCCACUAACUUUAGAAACUGGCUGUUCUCUGCCUUUCUCUCUCUCUUGGUCUCCCCUUUUGUUUUUCGUUGUCCCUUUUUUUCACGCCCUCUCCUCGAAAAGAACAGGAAAGCCAUUAUUUGUCUGCUUUUCCUUCUUUACUCGCAAAGCAAACAGGAACUGUCUCUACUUACACUUUAUAGAUAAUAUUGAUUGCUUACAAUUUAUGUUAAGAAAUAGAAGAAUGAGAAAUGCAAUGUGUGUGUGUGUGUGUGUAUGUGUAAGGCGGCGAGCUGGCAGAAUCGUUAGCACGCCGGGCGAAAUGCUUAGCGGUAUUUCGUCUGCCGUUACGUUCUGAGUUCAAAUUCCGCCGAGGUCGACUACGCCUUUCAUCCUUUCGGGGUCAAUAAAUUAAGUACCAGUUAAGCACUCGGGUCGAUAUAAUCGACUUAAUCCGUUUCUCUGUCCUUGUUUGUCCUCUCUGUGUUUAGCUCCUUGUGGAUAGUAAAUAAAUAGGUAUUUCGUCUGCCGCUACCUUCUGAGUUCAAAUUCCGCCGAGUCCACUUUGCCUUUCAUCCUUUCGGGGGUCGAUUAAAUAAGUACCAGUUACGCACUGGGGUCGAUAUAAUCGACUUAAUCCGCUUGUCUGUCCUUGUUUGUCCUCUCUGUGUUUAGCUCCUCGUGGGUAGUAAAUAAAUAGGUAUUUCGUCUGGCGCUACGCUCUGGGUUCAAAUUCCGCCGAGGUCAACUUUGCCUUUCAUCCUUUCGGGGUCGAUUAAAUAAGUACCAGUUACGCACUGGGGUCGAUAUAAUCGACUUAAUACCUUUGUCUGUCCUUGUUUGUCCCCUCUGUGUUUGUCCCCUCUGUGUUUGGCCCCUUUUGGGUAGUAAAUAAAUAGGUAUUUCGUCUGCCGCUACGUUCUGAGUUCAAAUUCCGCCGAGGUCGACUUUGCCUUUCAUCGUCUCGGAGUCGAUAAAUUAAGUACCAGUUGCGUACUGGGGUCGAUCUAAUUACGUGCCAUGUGUGUGUGUGUGUGUGUGUGUGUAUCACGAUUACAAUGAGGAUAGUAAAAAUUAUCAAUAAUUAAUUUCAUAUUACACAAAUAUAUAUCCUGGGAAAAUGGACCGAUAGAUUAAGAACUGGGGGUCGAUUUGUUCGACUAAAACUCUUCAAGGCAGUAAUACAGCAUGGCCGCAGUUGAAUACAUACAUACAUAAUGCAUACAUAUAUACAUACAUACAUACAUACAUACAUACAUACAUAUAUACAUACAUACAUACAUACAUACAUAUAUGUAUGUAUAUAUAGGCGCAGGAGUGGCUGUGUGGUAAGAAGCUUGCUUAUCAACCACACGGCUCCGGGUUCAGUCCCACUGCGUAGCACCUUGGGCAAGUGUCUUCUACUAUAGCCUCGGGCCGACCAAAGCCUUGUGAGUGGAUUUGGUAGGCGGAAACUGAAAGAAGACCGUCGUACACACACACACACACACACACACACACACACAUACACAUAUGAGCAACUAUAUAAAAGCAUUAUUACGGUUUUUAACAGUAAUAAUGAGGUGGUUAGCAAGACUUCUACCUAAACAGGUAUAAUAAGGCGGCGAGCUGGCAGAAACGUUAGCACGCCGGGCGAAAUGCGUAGCCGUAUUUCAUCGCCGUUACGUUCUGAGUUCAAAUUCCGCCGAGGUCGACUUUGCCUUUCAUCCUUUCGCGGUCGAUAAAUUAAGUACCAGUUACGCACUAGGGUCGAUAUAAUCGACUUAAUCCGUUUGUCUGUCUGUCUGUCCUCCCUGUUUGUCCCCUCUGUGUUUAGCCCCUUGUGGGUAGUAAAAAAAUAGGUAUAAUAUGAAAUAUUUGAAUAAAAGAAGAGUAAAAACACCGCUUGCCAAAAGCUGAAAGCGAAAGCUUCAAAAACCACCAAUCCUACGAUAAAUACACACACACACACACACACACACACACACACACACACACACACACACACACACACGAGGAAUGCAAUGAACACUUCAAAAGAAAAAACAAAAAAAACCCAGAAAAAAAUAGGCCUAGCUUCAGGAUGGAACCCGAAGACAGCCCACAUACCCCAAAUCUAUUUCCAAAAUAUUUACUACGUCAACGCGUAUACGUUUCGCAGUUUACACGUACCUAUACACUCAGGAGUGGCUGUGUGGUAAGUAGCUUGCUAACCAACCACAUGGUUGCGGGUUCAGUCCCACUGCGUGGCAUCUUGGGCAAGUGUCUUCUGCUAUAGUCCCGGGCCGACCAAUGCCUUGUGAGUGGAUUUGGUAGACGGAAACUGAAAGAAGCCUGUCGUAUAUAUGUAUAUAUAUAUAUAUAUAUGUGUGUGUGUGUGUUUGUGUGUCUGUGUUUGUCCCCCUAGCAUUGCUUGACAACCGAUGCUGGUGGGUCUAUGUCCCCGCCACUUAGCGGUUCGGCAAAAAAGAGACCGAUAGAAUAAGUACUGGGCUUACAAAGAAUAAGUUCCGGGGUCGAUUUGAUCGACUAAAGGCGGUGCUCCAGCAUGGCCGCAGUCAAAUGACUGAAACAAGUAAAAGAGUAAAAAGAGAGUAAAAGAGAGUAAGUAACUCGCACACGUACAGGCACUUGCGCGCGCGCAGUAUUAAUCUUUCGUUUAAUCCAUAUAAGUGACGUUUUAUUUCCAUUUGCUCGCUGCCCCUCCCCCCCUCCACUUCCACCCCCACCGCCACCGCUUUUUCUUAUCCUUUUUUUUUUAUCGUUUUCAUUUCUUUUCUAUAUAUAUGGUUUAUGGUUUUUCUUUUCUUUGUUUCUUCUUCAUCUUCUCCAUGUUCCAAUUACCUUUUAUGCUAUCUGAUGUGUUUAUUGUGCGUGUUCAGUGAACGAAGCCACAUUCUGACAUGGAGUAUGCACACACACACACACACACACACACACACACACACACAUACACACACGUCCACACGCAUACAUAUGCACACAUAUACUCACACUCACACACACAUGUCCACACACAUGCACACACACAAACGCACACACACAAGCACACACACACACGUCCACACACAUGCACACACUUACAUACACACACAUAUACUCAUACACAUACGCACACAUGUACACAAACACACACAUACACACACAUAUACUCACACCCACACACGUCCACAUACACAUACGCACACAUAUUCACACACACAUGCACAAGCACACACGUUCAUACACACACACACACGCAUGCACACACACAUACACACACAUAUAUUCACACAUAUACUCACACACACAUGCACACACACACCUCCACACACACACACACAUUUACUCACACACACGCACACACACACACACACACAUACAAACACACACACUUCAAUGAACACAAUAAUGGGACAUUGAUAAUCACCGCAUUCAAUCAACGAUCACAGCAACAUUCUCUCAGAACAAUAUAUAAACUAAUUCAUGUCAGACCAACCCAAUGUUCCGCAAACCCUUUUUUCACUUAAGGUACACCUACAUUCUUUUCGAAAUUCGGCGGCACACCUGAACUAGAAAUAUAACUAAAAGUACAGCGGGGUGGGAAUUAUAUUUAGGUUACACUGCGGCACAUCUAGCAUCGUCUAGUGCAGUGGUUCCCAUACGUUUUCGGGCUACCGUCCCCUUGACACCCAGACCACAUUCCUAGUGCCCCUACCCAAAGUAACCGUCACAAGCAGAGACCUUUUUCUGAAGCAAAUUCAAAGCAACUUUAUUUCACAAAAGCCUUAACCUAACGAACCCAUUAUUUCGUUGUUUUUACAUAAAUCGCUACCCUCAUUGUCACCCCACUUUUCUUCAACGUCCCCAAUCGAACUUCCUCCGCCCCCCAGGGAGCAAUACUGCCCACUUUGGGAACCACUAGUCUAGUGGCACACCAGCGUGUCACGGCAUACCGGUUGCAGAGUACUGGUUUAAUAGGUGUGCCAAAAUCGUCGAAACGGGUGAUCAAACUUCCAAGAGCACCAAUUACUAUUGGUAUCACCUUGUACUUAGCUUGGUCUUGCCUGCUGUUUCUUCAGUGAGCUUAGUCUUUCCCUUGGUCUUUUCUCGGAUUGGCUUCUAUGUAGAUCAUUUCCUGUUUACCUUAUUUUUGUCUGGAUCAGUUGGCGGCAUUUUUUUCUUCUACAUCCGGUCAUAUGAUACUGGUCUCUCUCAUGUCAGUCAUCAAUGGCCUACACUUUGCAAUUUCGGUCUUCUGUUUCCCUUUCAAUGAUAUCCAUUCGAAAGCUGUUUUAGAACGUUGUUAUUUUGGUAGCUCGGGCAUGUGACCAGUUAGUUUUAACCUUAGUCCCGUGACGAUUUCGCUAAGUGUUCGUGCGUGGAUUCUGUUAAGAAUGUUCUCAUAGGUUUCCAUUCCGUAUUUAACUGACCAGAUUGUGAGACAGAUAGAUAGACAGACAGACUGAUUAAGAUAGAACUAACAUGUGUGAUAUAUUGGCGUUUCUAUUAAGAUAUAAAAAGAAGAGAGACGUUAGAAUAGCUGUCAGAUUUUGAAUAAAUGCUGGGGUCGAUUUGAUCAACUAAAAUCCCUUCAGUGCGGUGCCCCAGAAUAAUCAGAAGAACAAACAAACAUGGAGUAUUAAUUUGUUGAAAAGACAUAGAUAUGCAGCGAGAUACAUCGAUAGAUGAGCAGAUAAGCAUGUUGUUCGGCUGUUACAUAGACAUGUCAGUGUUAAUGUCUUAAAUACGUGGAACGUUAAAAGGUUAACUAGAAAUAAAUAGGAAGCUAAACAAACAGACAGAUAGUUAGGUUAGACAUGUUGAUAAAUAAGUUAAUGUGAACAUAUGUGAAGAGCAGAGCAUUAAAAAGUUAGCUGCAAAUACUAGUGGGGCGAAAGAGAAGUGGAUAGUUCGGUAGAUAUGCAAAGAAAAUGAUAAAAAUGCAAUUGUUAAUAUAUGAAUUACAUGAUGCGUUAAAAAGCUAGCUGCAGACAAAUAUGUAGCGAUGAAGAAAAAAUGAUAUUAGAUCAUUGCUAAUGCUACUUUCUCGUCUGGUAAGUAUGGGAAACAACUUCCGACUUGUUUAGUGUUAUUUCAACUUCGUUAGUGAACUACAUCCUUCUCCGUAUUAACGAGAAGUUAGGUAAAUAUGGCGGUAAUUUAACUUAUGCUAACAGAUGUAACUAACUGCAAAUAAACAAGUGACAAGAACAAAACAGGAAAACACGAUAAUGUGCAAUGGUUAAUAUUAUUUUCGCUUCUGGCAAGUAAACAACUUCCGACAUGUUUUCACCUUAUUCUGACCUCUUCAGAAGAGCACGAUCUUCUCCGUAUUAAAGAUGUACAGAUAGAAGAAUGGAAGAAUGCUUAAGUAAACAUGUAAGGUUGUACAUUCGUUGGCUCAGGUACAUUAGACCUGUUUAGAGAAUAAAUAACGUAGGUACGCCAUCUGCAUAUAAAAGCGUAAAGAUAGUGCUAACAUAUUUAAUACUUGCUUCAUGAAAACACUAACUGGAAAUAUAUACUCUUUUACUCUUUUACUCUUUUACUUGUUUCAGUCAUUUGACUGCGGCCAUGCUGGAGCACCGCCUUUAGUCGAGCAAAUCGACCCGGGACUUAUUCUUUGUAAGCCCAGUACUUAUUAUAUCGGUCUCUUUUGCCGAACCGCUAAGUUACGGGGACGUAAACACACCAGCUUCGGUUGUCAAGCAAUGCUAAGGGGACAAACACAGACACACAAACACACACACACACAUAUAUAUAUAUAUAUACAUAUAAAUGACAGGCUUCUUUCAGUUUCCGUCUACCAAAUCCACUCACAAGGCAUUGGUCGGCCCGGGGCUAUAGCAGAAUACAUUUGCCCAAGAUGCCACGCAGUGGGACUGAACCCGGAUCCAUGUGGUUGGUUAGCAAGCUACUUACCACACAGCCACUCCUACGCCUAUAUAUGUACGAAUAAAAGUGAACACACAUUAGAUGCUUUUCUUUUCUUGCUAUUCGUCUUUCCAGAGACAAUGAAAUAAAGUACAAAUCAAGCAUUGGGCUCAAUGUUACCAUCGAACCCUUCCUCACAAAAUUUGAGGCUUUCUCAUUCUCGUAACCGUUUCAGAAACAGAACACAGAAAUAAGCAGGGAGCGGCAUCCAAAACUCAGAGUUUUUAUCUUGGCUACCGAAUAAUUGUCACAUGGGUGGAGGCGCAAUGGCCCAGUGGUUAGGGCAGCGGACUCGCGGUCAUAGGAUCGUGGUUUCGAUUCCCACACCGGGCGUUGUGAGUGUUUAUUGAGCGAAAACACCUAAAAGCUCCACGAGGCUCCGGCAGGGGAUGGUGGUGAUCCCUGCUGUACUCUUUCACCACAACUUUCUCUCACUCUUACUUCCUGUUUCUGUUGUACCUGUAUUUCAAGGGGCCGGCCUUGUCACUCUCUGUGUCACGCUGAAUAUCCCCGAGAACUACGUUAAGGGUGCACGUGUCUGUGGAGUGCUCAGCCACUUACACGUUAAUUUCACGAGCAGGCUGUUCCAUUGAUUCGGAUCAACCGGAACCCUCAUCGUCGUUACCGACGGAGUGCUUCCACCACCCACAAUUGUCACCUAUUAUUUUACAGAUAAAUUUCCUCUAUUUACAUAAUAUUGAGGUCUCUUUCUUUCUUUUGUUAUCUUACCGUUUUUACCAAUAACCUUCGAAACGUAGAGUAGAUGAAACCAUGGCGACUGAAGAAGGGUUUUUUUUCUUUGUGUUAAUUGUCCUGUACUCUAUUUUUGUUGUUGUUUAAAAAAAUGUCCAGUUCCUUGGGUUUGUGUCUAUGUUUUCGUUUCUCGUUGUGUUCAACGUUUUUUUUGGUGUCCUGUACUCAUAUAUGCGUGUAUAUAUACAUGUAGAGGUAGGUACGUACAUAUAUGUAUAUAUAUAUGCAUAUGUUUUAUUUAUUAUUAUAUAUAUAUAUAUAUAUAUACACACACACACACACACACACACACAUACACACACACACACAUAUAUAUAUAUACAUACAAGGCGGCGAGCUGGCAGAAACGUUAGCACGUCGGGCGAAAUGUGUAGCCGUAUUUCGUCUGCCGUUACGUUCUGGGUUCAAAUUCCGCCGUGGUCGACUUUGCCUUUCAUCCUUUCGGGGUCGAUAAAUUAAGUACCAGUUACGCACUGGGGUCGAUAUAAUCGACUUAAUCCGUUUGUCUGUCCUCGUUUGUCCCCUCUGCGUUUAGCCCUUUGUGGGUAGUAAAGAAAUAUAUAUAUAUAUACAUACUUAUGUAUAUACUAUACUGUACUAUACUAUAAAGAAAAUGAAACCCUUUAUGAAUAGAAACUUUCAUAGUUGAAGAAGGAAGAUAAAUGUAAAAAAAGAGAAAAGCCCUGCAGCAUUCGUUGGAAACUCACAAAGAAAAGGGGGAGAUAAUUUCAAUAAUUGAAGAAUAAAUUAAAAUAAAAAUGAAUUGUCUUACCCGAGGUAAAAUAUUUGCUCUUUGUUAAAGGUGGACAUGUUUCGUUUUGCUGUCAACGUUCUUGAUAACGAACAUCCCCUUUUUCCCUGCAGCCUGACUUAUGCAUAAGAAUUACAUUUUAAAAACUAUAUUAUUGAAAUUAUCUCCCCCUAUUCUUUGCGAGUUGCUAGUAAAUGCCGCAAGGUUUCGGUUGAUUUUUUCUUCUUAUUUUCUUUAUUUUUCUUUGCCAUGAUAAAGGAAAAUUUCGAUUUAUUAUAAAUUUAUGCGUAGCAAUUCAGUACAUAAAAAAUAUGUAGAUAUUAUAUAUAUCUAUCUAUACAUACAGAACAUGUAUGUAUACGGACGUGUGUAUAAACGGCGUUGUUUGUCUUGCUGGUGAUUUUGGUGCCAAUGGUGAUGGCGGUGGUAAUGGUUGCGUUGUUGCUGCUGUUGUUGUUGUUGUUGGUGGUGGUGGUGGUCGUAUUGUUAUCAGUGGUUGUUGUGGUGGUGGUUGAGUCUGUAUGUAUGUAUGAGUAUGUCUAUAUAUGUAUAUGCCUUUGUAUAUGUAUAUAUUUGCAUGUGUCUGGGUAUGUGUGAGUAUGUGUGUGUAUGUAUAUGCAUGUGUGUGUAUAUUUGUAUUUGCGUGUGUGUGUAUGAGUGUAUGUAUAUGUUUGUUUGUGAGCAUAAGUGUCUAUGUGUGUAUAUGUCUUUGUAUAUGUAUAUAUUUGUAUGUGUCUGUAUAUGUGUGUGUAUGUGUGUGUGUAUGUAUAUGCGUGUUUGCAUGUUUGUAUUUGUGUGUAUGUGUGUAUGUAUGUGUAUGUGUACGUAUGUGUCUGUAUGUGUGUAUGUGUGUAAGUGUGCAUGUGUAUGUGUAUAUAUAUGUAUGUGAGUACGUGUAUGUAUGUAUGUGUAUAUAUCUGUGUGUAGGUACGUGUGUAUGUGUAAGUAUGUAUGUGUAUUAUCUGUGUGUAUGUGCAUGUAUGUAAGUAUGUAUGUAUGUGUAUGUGUGUGUAUGUGUGUGUGUAUGUUUAUAGGUACGGAAUGGGUAAUGAAGUUCGCUACGCAAACAGGAAUGUCGGUAUCGAUGGUGGUGGCACUGAUGGUAGUUUUGAAUAUUGUUGUUGUUGUUGUUGGUGGUGGUGGUCCUGGUGAUGGUGGAGCUGUUAGUGGCGAUGAUGCUGAGAGCUGCGGUGGUGGUGGUGGUGGUGGCGUUCGUUUUGGUAGCGUUUGUGUUGCAGUGUUGCUAUUAUUGUUGUUGUUUGUGAUGUAGCAUUAUUAAUAGUUGUGGUGGUGGUGGCCAUGUGGCGUUAUUGUGGUGGCCUUGUAGUAGUAGUAGUAGUAGUAGUAGUAGUAGUAUUAGUAGUAGUAGUAAAGGUAGUAGUAAGUAGUAGUAGUUGUAUUAGUUAGUACUAGUAGUAGUAGUAAUUAUUGUAGAAGUAGUUAUAAUAGUAGUAGUAGUAGUAGUAGUAGUAGUAGUAGUAGUAGUAGUAAUAGUAGUAGUUGUAUUAGCUAGUAGUAGUAGUUGUACUGGUUAGUAGUAGCUGUAUUAUUAAUAGUUAGAAGUAGUAGUAGUAGUAGUAAUAAUUGUAGAAGUAGUUAUAGUAGUAGUUGUAUUAGUAGUAGUAGCAAUAGUUGUAUUAGUUAUUAUUAUUAGUAGUAGUAGUAGUAGCAGCAGCAGCAGCAGCAGUAGUAGUAGUUGUAGUAUUGGUGGUCGUGAAGGAAUCCCACGGGGAUGGACCGGACACACCGCGUUUCGUUGUGGAACACUACGUGACACCCCGGCUUUAUGAGGAACAGAUGAAUGCCUUCACACCUCUCACCGACAUUCUAUAUUGACAAUAUGUCGUUCACACUUUCUUAAUUGGAAUUCAGUGUCAAAGGCUCCACGCGCAUAAUUCAAUCAGUAUUCUUAAUUGGCAUGUGAGUGUGUGUGUUUGUGUGUGUGUGUGUAUAUAUAUAUAUAUAUGUCGAUGUGUGUACCCAUGUAUGAAUAUACACACUCAUAUAUGAAUGUAUAUACAUGCAUAUUCGUACAUACUCUUUUACUCCUUUAUUUGUUUCAGUCAUUUGACUGUGGCCAUGCUGGAGCACCGCCUUGAGUCGAGCAAAUCGACGCCAGGACUUAUUCUUUGUAAGCCUAGUACUUAUUCUAUCUUUCUAUCUGUCUCUUUUGCCGAACUGCUAGGGUUACGGGGACGUAAACACAACAGCAUCGGUUGUCAAGCGAUGUUGGGGGACAAACACAGACACACAAACACCCCCCCCCCAUAUAUACGACGGGCUUCUUUCAGUUUCCGUCUACGAAUUCCACUCACAAGGCUUUGUCGGCCCGAGGUUAUAGUAGAAGACGCUUGUCCAAGGUGCAACGCAGCGGGACUGAACCCGGAACCAUGUGUUUUGGUAAGCAAGCUACUUACCACAGAGCCACUCCUGUGCCACAUAUAUGCUGGGCCGAACACCGUCAAGCAUGAUCUUUCUUUCUUGACUCGACUGCCAGACACGAAGCAUCUCUUAGUCCUGUCUCCUGACUUUCAUCUCUUAUCUCCAUCUAUGUUCCUGCCUCAAGGCUUUCACUCCGCAUCCGCCAGCUCAAUCUGAUUCUUCUUCAUUAGUUGAAAGACGCAUGUUGUUAUUUUUUUGCUGUUUGUAUUUGUAAUUGAGUAAUAUUUUCUCCGUUUUUUUUUUCGUCUUUGUUCUCGUGCACAUUCGCUUGCUUUCUCCCAAAAUAUUUGAUGCUCUUAGCUUAGUUUUUUGGGAUCAGCUAGAUUUGAACAAUCUCAAGUAUAACCGGCCGAAACUGGAAGGAUAAUCUGGAAACUCGACAGAGGAUUUGUUUUGCCCUGUCCGUCUUUUUGUUGUUUUUCCCGUCCGUCUUCGUAUCGUCUAUCUGACCGGAUGAUUCAUUGUCGUUUGUUGUGUUCUUGUUCCAUUUUUCACACACACACACACACACACACACACACACACACACACACACACACACACACACACACACACACACACACACACACACACACAAAUAUAUAUAUAUGUAUAUAUAGAGAAAACUUGUAGUGUCAUUUCAUAAGGAAUUCUUUUACAUGCUAUGACAUCAAGGUCAUUCGCACGUUAAUUUUCUCACAUUAAUUUUACACGCCCAUGCAUACACAAACAAACAUAUUUACAUAUACACAUACAUAUAUGAAUGUGCAUAUAUAAUAUCAAUCUGAUACCUUUUGUACAUAUACAUAAUACAUAUAUACAUACAUAAAUACAUACAUGCAUACAUACAUAUAUACAUACAUAAAUACAUACAUACAUACAUAUGCUUUUUAUUCUUUUCGUUUGCUCCAGACAUUUGGCUGCGGCCAUACUGGAGGACCACCUCAUAGGGUUUUAGUCGAAGAAAUCGAACUCAGGACUUAUUCUUUGUAAGCCUAGUAAUUAUCCUAGCAGUCUCUUUUGUCGAACAGCUGAAUUACGGGGACGUAAACGCACCAACAUCGGUUGACAAACGAUGGUCGAGGGAAAAACAGACACAGGCACACACAUAUAAAUACAUACAUGUAUAUGUGUGUGUGUAUAUAUAUAUAAAUAUGUGAAUAUAUAUAUAUAUAUAUAUAUAUAUAUAUAUAUAUAUAUAUAUAUAUAUAUAUAUAUGUAUAUAUAAACAUAUAUACAUACACAACGGUCCUUUCAGUUUCCGUCUACCGAGUCCACACACAAGGGGUUGGUCGGCCCGAGGCUAUAGUAGAAGACACUUGCCCACGCAGUGGGACUGAACCCGGAACCAUGGAGUUGGGAAGCAAGCUUCCUAUCACACACCCACGCUUUAUAUAUACACAUACUGACGUCAUAAUAAGUGUUAUGAACUGUGACUUGUCCCAUGGAAAGGGUUUUUAGCUAAAUAUUUACACUCUAUUAUAGCUUUUUUAACUUAGAGAUUCACAAACCCAUAUAUCUAUCUAUCUAUCUAUCUAUCUAUCUAUCUAUCUAUCUAUCUAUCUAUCUAUCUAUCUAUCUAUCUAUCUAUCUAUCUAUCUAUCUAUCUAUCUAUCUAUCUAUCUAUCUAUCUAUCUAUCUAUCUAUCUAUCUAUCUGCCUAUCUAUCUAUCUAUCUAUCUAUCUAUCUAUAUACAUAUGUAUGUAUGUAUGUAUGUAUGUAUGUAUGUAUGUAUAUAUGUAUGUAUAUGCAUAUGUAUGUAUAUGUAUGUAUGUACGUAUAUGUAUAGGCGCAUAAGCGCAGGAGUGGUUGUGCGGUAGGUAGCUUGCUUACCAGCCACAUGGUUCCGGGUUCAAUCCCACUGCGUGGCACCUUGGGCAAGUGUCUUCUACUGUAGAUUCACACAAACGAGACUAUCGGCCAGUCUUCCCACGCCACACCGCUCCUCCUGAGUGAAUCGGGAUAUAGAUCUGUUUCGAAAAGCCAAAUUACUGCUUAACUCACACUACACCUUGAAUAAUCAAUCCUUCGUCCCCUCUAAAGAUUACAUGAACUCUUCCUAUGUCAGCACUGUCAUAUUCAGAUACAAGAGUCACUUGUUACGUUUUCCUUUCUAUAAACAUUAUUGUUUUGAAAUAUUUCAUUAUGGCCGGAUAUUUUUAUAAGAAAUUAUUGCAAACCACUGUGAAUUCGUAAAUCUGGUUGUUGACAUAGCUUAACGAAUAAUUUCGCUCGUAUUUAAAUAUGUGUGUGUGUAUGUAUAUGUGCAUGUGUAUAUAUGUAUGUAUUUGUAUGUAUAUAUAUAUAUAUAUGUAUGUAUGUACGUAUGUAUGUAUAUAUAUGUAUAUAUAUAUAUAUAUAUAUAUAUAUAUAUAUAUAUAUAUAUAUAUAUAUAUAUAUAUAUAUAUAUAUAUAUAUAUAUAUAUAUAUAUAUAUAUAUAUAUAUAUAUAUAUAUAUAUAUAUAUAUAUAUAUAUAUAUAUAUGCAUCGGACAUCUAAUUAUAAAAGUGGAAAAAAUAUCUGAAAAGCCAUUUCUAUUAAUCUUAUAUUUGUACUCAUACACACACACACAUACACACACACACACACACACACACACACACAUGUGUAGUGUAUAGAAUGGAUUAUAACGCAAGCUGUGUCCUCGUGAAGCAAAUCUAAAUCUACAAGUUAGCAGUAAUUAAAUGCACAUAUAUGGAUGCUUUAAACAAGUGUAAAUUCUGUGCGAAUUAGGAAACGGCGGUGAGUGAAAUUUUUCUAAAUUGAAUAAUGAGCCUUCAUCGUAUAUUGACUAUAGAAAAUAGUCGGUUAUUAGGGCAUAUAAACCUCCUUAACGGAAAAAAAGUGGGUAUCUGAACGUGUCCCCAUUCUUUUGUGUCAAGCAGGUUUAUCAUGCCCUAAUAUUUAACUAAUUUUCCAUAAUAUACAAUGAAGGCUUUACAAAAUAGAUGUCUUUUAAUUUUAAAUGAAGCAUAUAGGCGCAGGAGUGGCUGUGUGGUAAGUAGCUUGCUAACCAAGCACAUGGUUCCGGGUUCAGUCCCACUGUGUGGCAUCUUGGGCAAGUGUCUUCUGCUAUAGCCCCGGGCCGACCAAUGCCUUGUGAGUGGAUUUGGUAGACGGAAAUUGAAAGAAGCCUGUCGUAUAUAUGUAUAUAUAUAUAUAUGUAUAUAUGUGUAUGUGUGUGUGUUUGUGUGUGUGUGUGUUUGUCCCCCUAGCAAUGCUUGACAACCGAUGCUGGUGUGUUUACGUCCCCGUCACUUAGCGGUUCGGCAAAAAGAGACCGAUAGAAUAAGUACUGGGCUUACAAAGAAUAAGUCCCAGGGUCGAUUUGCUCGACUACAGGCGGUGCCUCAGCAUGGCCGCAGUCAAAUGACUGAAACAAGUGAAAGAGUAAAAGAGUAUACAUGCGAGAUAGGUUGAGAAUUUCAUAGGGUGAUUAUGAAAGAGGUUUGGAGUCACUGUGUAACUUUCGCCGAUUAAUAUAUUAAUGUGUGUGUGUGUGUGUGUGUAGGCAGUCCGACGAUGGGUUAAUUGGCCGGUACUUCGAAGUCACUGUCAACAUUCUUGUGUAAAAAUAAUAAAUCUGUACCCUACGAAAGUUUAGAGCAGCCCAUCAAAUUAAUGUAAAAUUAUUUUACAUUUAUGUACAUACAUAGUUUAUAUUUAUUUAAAGGAAGAAAAUUAGCAGGAAGCAGGUCAUCUUCACUUACACCCGUUUCAAUUAAUACCCAAUAGACAUUAAAUUUACAUUUAUGAGACAUGAUCAUAAGAUUAUACUCAUGUUGCAUAAAUGUAAAUUUAAUGA
rnacentral:lncRNA from 1 species